GCUGAGCAGGAGGGGCCCACCCAGAGGAGGAGAAAGGAAUAAAUAAAGUGGGCUCAGCUCAACUCCUGGACAGCUCCCAGUCUGAUGGGAAACUGGACCUUUGAGCUCCCCUGCUUGUUUCUCUUCUAGCUCUUUAGCAGCCAGAGUGAUCUUUAAAAAUUGUUUUAAAAGGCAGACUAGGUUUCUCCUGUCUCCUACUGCCCCUCAUUCUGAGUUUUUGCCACCCGUGGCUGCAUUUUGGUUACUCAGAGGUGCCAUACAGCAUCUCACCUCAGGACCUUGCUAAGGCUUUCUCUUCCAUCUAGAGUGAACUUCUGCCCUCCUCUUCACCUGGCUCACUGCACUUACCACAUGGGAUUUUCUGAUGAGAGGCUCUCCUCUUCACUGGAUGGUAACUUGACAGGGCAGGGACUGGAGCUGUCCUUUCAAGAAAUGAAUGAAGAAAAAGGCACUAAUUUGUACCAUCAGCUGUGCUGAAUGAACGAUAACUUUGGGGAUUCACUUCACUUUUGGGGGUUACCACAUCUGAAUCCUGCUUCCUGCUUGUUGGAAUAAAGGACCUGUUUCCAACUACAGAAGCUGAAGUGGUCGCAUCCUCCUCCCUGUCCCUGGCAGCUGAGGCUCCUCAAGAGUGGCUGCACCAACUUAAAUCCCCAUGACGGUGAUUACUUCUUAGAGGUGCCCAUGGGCUCCUCGGGUGAUACUGGUGAGGACCCCAACACUAAGCAGUCUGACUGAAUGUCUACAACCUCGCCAGGCAACAAUUUCAACAGAAAACUGGAAGACCGCAGGUGCUCCACAGGGCUGUAGGGCUCUGUGUGCCUGUGCCUGUCUCUGCUUCUGGCUGCAGCAUCCUGAAGCCUCAGCCCCCCUGUGCUCUGAAGCUGAGGAGCCAUCCAGAGCCUGCAGCGGCUGUCUUGGGUACUCAUCUUUCUGGUUGGGGUGACACUCUACCCUUGGAAGCACCCGAGUCCAGGUUCACCACGAAAGCACAGCAAAGUGAGAACACGACAACACGGCACUGGGAGAACAUGCAGAGCUUCUGCAUUUGCUAUUCCCUCUGCCUGGAAAACCCUUCUACCAAGUCUUCUCAUUGCUGGCCCCAUCUUACUAUUCAGGCUUCGGCUCCAAUGUUGAUCCCCUUAGAGAAGCCUCCCCAGAACACCCCACAGCCAUCUGAAGCUGUGCAGUUUGUGUCCCCCCAAAUUAGCACCCCGCCCCCACUCUUUAUUGCAUUGUCUACUUUUGUCUUUAUAGCAGAUGUCAGUGCUACCUGAAAUUAUGUAUUUCACAUACGUGAAAUUACAUUAUUUAUCUGCUUGUUGCCUGUGUCUUUCAUGUAAACCUCGUGGGAGUAAGGACUGUCUUUGUCUUGGUCCUUGUUCUGCUCCUGGUGCCUGUCAUGUAGUAGGUGCUCAGGAAAUUUGUUGACAUUCUCUCUCCUUAUUUUGGGGAGCUGUACCUACUUACCUACUUAUGUGUGUGAUGUGCGCAGGUUGCUCAAUUGUGUCUGACUCUUUGUGACCCUAUGGACUAUACAGUCCAUGGAAUUCUUCAGGCCAGAAUACUGGAGAGGGGAGCCGUUCCCUUUUCUAGGGGAUCUUCCCAACCCAGGGAUUAAACCCAGGUCUCAUGCAUUGCAGGCAAAUUCUUUACCCACUGAGCCACCAAGGAAGUCCUACUUAACUUGUAUUUUUAUUUUACUAAUAAAUAGUUUCUUAGAUUUGUUAGUUUACAUUUAAGGAAACUGAGGCUAUUAGGAGUGAAAGAUUCUGCAUGGGCUCCCAGCUGGCUGGUACAGAGCUAGGUCUUGAACCCAGGACUCCUAGGCCAGGGCAUUGGCCACUCUAAGGCAUGACCAGCCCUUCAUCUGACCCUCAGCACCGGUGAGGUCAGGUGUAGCUGCCACCUCUCUGGCCCCUGGCUCAGAGCUGCAGAGAGCUGGGGUUCCUUUCAAAGAAGUGAGCAGAGACGCAGAAUUAGUAUUGGUAAAUUAUGCCAGAACCCUUGCAUGUACAUUAUUAUUAUUGCCCCAUAUAUUCUCAAAUAAUCCCUGUAAAUAAUUAUAAAAAUAAAUCUCAGUGACAAAUUCUUUCUUUUCUUUCCAGGAACACAUUUAUUCAUCCUAAUCUCUUCAUGGGUAGGACAAAUUGGAGCACUGGGUAGUGAAUACAAUUUGCAAAUAGGCAAUAUAAGUAGAGAGAAAAUUAAUAUGUAUUCCUCAGCACUCUAAAAGGAGAGGAAGAACAUUAAUAGCCAUUUCCUUGCAGAUAUAACUUUGAAAAUGUUAUUUCUGAUCCAUCAGCGUGGGGCUCCAUAUGAGGAAAAUGGUUACAACGUGACAAGAAGUGAUUAGAUGUGAAAUGGCAUCUUCCUGGCGCUCCUCCCGUCUCUUUAUCCUGUUCUUACUGGGAUUUAGGAGGAAUUCUGUGUUAUUUUGUUCAGCAGAUCACAGCGCUGGCCUGGGGUCUGCUGCUCAUUGGCUGGGUGACCUUGGGCUGUUUCCUUUCACUCUCCCAGCCGUGGUUUCCACAGCAGUAGCUGGAGCAGAUGACGUCUGAAGCCACAGUGAGUUUGGAUGAUUACAAGUCCUCACUGCUUGAAGUACCUGAGAAACAUAAGAGAUGCUAGGGCACCACCUACUGAAUCAGAAUCUUAAUUUUACUAAUAAAUAGUUUCUUAGAUUUGUUAGUUUACAUUUAAGGAAACUGAGGCUAUUAGGAGUGAAAGAUUCUGCAUGGGCUCCCAGCUGGCUGGUACAGAGCUAGGUCUUGAACCCAGGACUCCUAGGCCAGGGCAUUGGCCACUCUAAGGCAUGACCAGCCCUUCAUCUGACCCUCAGCACCGGUGAGGUCAGGUGUAGCUGCCACCUCUCUGGCCCCUGGCUCAGAGCUGCAGAGAGAGCUGGGGUUCCUUUCAAAGAAGUGAGCAGAGACGCAGAAUUAGUAUUGGUAAAUUAUGCCAGAACCCUUGCAUGUACAUUAUUAUUAUUGCCCCCAUAUAUUCUCAAAUAAUCCCUGUAAAUAAUUAUAAAAAUAAAUCUCAGUGACAAAUUCUUUCUUUUCUUUCCAGGAACACAUUUAUUCAUCCUAAUCUCUUCAUGGGUAGGACAAAUUGGAGCACUGGGUAGUGAAUACAAUUUGCAAAUAGGCAAUAUAAGUAGAGAGAAAAUUAAUAUGUAUUCCUCAGCACUCUAAAAGGAGAGGAAGAACAUUAAUAGCCAUUUCCUUGCAGAUAUAACUUUGAAAAUGUUAUUUCUGAUCCAUCAGCGUGGGGCUCCAUAUGAGGAAAAUGGUUACAACGUGACAAGAAGUGAUUAGAUGUGAAAUGGCAUCUUCCUGGCGCUCCUCCCGUCUCUUUAUCCUGUUCUUACUGGGAUUUAGGAGGAAUUCUGUGUUAUUUUGUUCAGCAGAUCACAGCGCUGGCCUGGGGUCUGCUGCUCAUUGGCUGGGUGACCUUGGGCUGUUUCUUUCACUCUCCCAGCCGUGGUUUCCACAGCAGUAGCUGGAGCAGAUGACGUCUGAAGCCACAGUGAGUUUGGAUGAUUACAAGUCCUCACUGCUUGAAGUACCUGAGAAACAUAAGAGAUGCUAGGGCACCACCUACUGAAUCAGAAUCUUAAUUUUCUGAGUUCAUAUACUUUUUUUAAAGUGACAUGCCUGACAUCUCAUAAUUUAAAAAAAUUUUUUUACUGAGGUGUAAUUGAUUUACAGUGUCACGUUACCUUCAGGUGGUGUUUGUUGUUUAGUCGCUUAGACGUGUCCCAACUCUUGCUACCCUAUGGACUGUAACCUGCCAGGCUCCGCUAUCCAUGGGAUUUCCUAGGCAAGAAUAUUGGAAUGGGUUGCCAUUUCCUCCUGCAGGGGAUCUUCCCGGCCCAGGGAUCAAAACUGCAUCUUCUGCAUUCACAGGUGGAUUCUUUACCACUGAGCGGCCAGGGAAGCCCAGUUUCAGGUAUACAGCAAAGUGAAUCUCAUAUGCAAAUACAUAUGUUCACUCUUUUUAAGAUUAUUUUCCCAUAUAGGCCAUUACAGAAUGCUGAGUAGAAUUGCCUGUGUUAUACAGUAGGUCCUUAUUAGUUAUAAUUUUAUAUAUAGUAGUGUGAAUGUAUCCAUCCCAGUCUUCCAGUUUUUCCCUCCCCCUUCCUUACCUCCCAGUGACGGUAAGUUUAUUUUCUAUAUCUGUAACUUUGUUUCAGUUUUGUAAAUAAGUUCAUUUUUAUCCUUUCUAAAGAUUCCCUAUAUAAGCAAUAUCGCAUGAUAUUUGUCUUUCUCUGGUGAAUUCUAUAUAUAUUAAUUGAAGUUGGGAGAGGUUUUCCCUCUAAGUGGCAGAAACUCGUCAAGCCAAGCUGGGAUUCUGGAAGGGUCACUCGGCCUUAGACCCUGCUCCCUUCUUCCCCACUGGCCAGUAUAAAGUUGAAGAGUGUCGUCUGGUCAAGGAUUCCUUUCCCUUUCCGAAUCUGAA
ensembl:lncRNA